rnacentral:rRNA from 1 species
AUGAACGCUGGCGGCGUGCCUAAUACAUGCAAGUCGAGCGAACAGACGAGGAGCUUGCUCCUCUGACGUUAGCGGCGGACGGGUGAGUAACACGUGGAUAACCUACCUAUAAGACUGGGAUAACUUCGGGAAACCGGAGCUAAUACCGGAUAAUAUAUUGAACCGCAUGGUUCAAUAGUGAAAGACGGUUUUGCUGUCACUUAUAGAUGGAUCCGCGCCGCAUUAGCUAGUUGGUAAGGUAACGGCUUACCAAGGCAACGAUGCGUAGCCGACCUGAGAGGGGUGGUCGGCCAAAGGGAACCGGAGACAGGGCCCAAACUCCACGGGGGGGACAGGGUGGGAAAACUGCCGCAAGGGGGAAAAGCCGGACGGAGAAACGCGGGGGGGGUGAGGAAGGUCUUGGGUUCGAAAAACCCUGUUUUUGGGAAAAAAAAAAUGUGAAAGAAACUUUGCCCGUCUUGAGGGAACCAAAUAAAAAGGCCACGCCAAACUAGUG